CAAAACUCACAACCAGGGCUUAAAUACAAAACAAAUUGUUACUUGCCAAGGGUAUCUAUCCUCCAUGGUGCUUUUCAAGGACCCGAGGGCUGUCUUUUUGGCGGCCAUUGUGGUGACCGCAAUGGUCAUGCCAUCAUGCUAUGUUGCACAAGGUGUAGGGGUAUGCAACCAGAUCUUACCAUGCACGGACAACACGUGCAAAGUCUACUGCCAGAAAUUGGGGUACAGGUUCUCCAAGGCACAGUGCAAGCCUGGGAACCUGAAGAAAGGUGUGUCCUAUGACAACUGCUGUUGUCUAAAGUUAGAACCCGUCAUCCACGGGUAGUCCUCGGACUCGAACUGAUCUAUCGGUUUCACCUUUGCUUGUGAAGACAUAUCGAUCGAUCAAGUUUGACUUCAUCCUCAUAACGAUUGUUGAAAUGUUUAUCCAGCCGUCUCGAUCUUGUGUGUAACUCAUUAUUAAUAUGGUGAACGAUUGUGGUGUUCAAGAUAAUAAAGAUACUAUUGCAGCAGGGAGUACACCUGACA